UACGGGGGGGGGCAAGCGUUGUUCGGAAUUACUGGGCGUAAAGGGCUCGUAGGCGGCCAACUAAGUCAGACGUGAAAUCCCUAGGCUCAACCUAGGAACUGCGUCUGAUACUGGAUGGCUUGAAUCCGGGAGAGGGAUGCAGAAUUCCAGGUGUAGCGGUGAAAUGCGUAGAUAUCUGGAGGAACACCGGUGGCGAAGGCGGCAUCCUGGACCGAUACUGACGCUGAGGAGCGAAAGCGUGGGGAGCGAACAGG
rnacentral:rRNA from 1 species